CGAGUAGACGGCGAUGCAAGUCAGAUGUGAAAUGCUAGGGCUUAACCUUAGAACUGCAUCUGAAACUGUAUUGCUAGAGUGCAGGAGAGGUAAACGGAAUUCCUAGUGUAGCGGUGAAAUGCGUAGAUAUUAGGAGGAACAUCAGUGGCGAAGGCGGUUUACUGGACUGUAACUGACGUUGAGGCGCGAAAGCGUGGGGAGCAAACA
rnacentral:rRNA from 1 species